AUUUCGUCAGUGCACGGGGAAAUUUCCUCUUUUUUGUCUUCCAAAAGACGAUGAAUUUAAGAGUCAGUGGUUAAAAUUAGUUUUUGGCACUAUUCCCCAGGACUACAACCCCAACCUUAUGUUGUGUUCUGUCCAUUUUACGGAGGACUGCUUCCUGAACCUGCAACAGUUCAAUUCAGGAUUUUCAAACCGUUUAAUUUUGAAAGACAGUGCAGUUCCGACUCUGUCUGGCCAUCCUGGAGAUUCAGAACCACAACCUAGUACAUCACAGCAGCACCUCGAAACCCCACACCUUUCCACUACAUUCCAUGACAUAGGAUGCCAGACCGAACCACCACAAAAUAUGUCAGUGGGCAUACAGUCCAGUGCUCCAACAGUCGGCACACAGCUAUCCAUGGGUACGCUGAGGGCUUCCAUGAGAAGCAAAGGCACCCAGGCAAUAGUGCCCUGUGUUAGUGUUUACACUGAGACCACUUCAAGCUUCCCAGAAUUCACCCCGAUGUCUUCAACACCAAUAAGACCCCAAGAUUACAGACCUCGCAAGAGACCUCGUCUUGAGUUGGAGGAGGAGGAGGAGGAAGAGGAAGAGGGAGACACCUCAGCAGAGUUGCAAGCUGAGCCACAAGACUCAACAUAUAUCCCUGGUGACUCUGUUCUAACGGACGAAUCUGCCAUGUCGUCUGAGCCAGUGUCUACUUAUAAGGAUGAUAAGUACAUUGUUUUUGAAAGUUGCCUAAGGGAGCUUUUUCAAAGCUGUCCUGUAUGCAAGAGGCAGUGUGACGUUCAGCGCCGAAAAAUGGGAACGUAUGUGUCAUUCACACAGCUCUGCCCACACUGCAACUAUUCAAGACAGUGGCAGAGUCGGCCUGUUGUAGGAAGUACCUCCGUCGGCAACCUACACCUGUCACAGCAACAUAUUUCACCGGUUCAUCCUUCAUCCAACUGGAAAAGAUAUGCAAGGCCAUGAAUCUUGAGAUUUUCCAGUAUGACACCUUCAGGAGGCAUGCUAGGAGUUUUCUGGAGCCAGCCAUAAUCCACAAAUGGAAGACGGAUCAGCAACAUCUUUUUCAAAAGUUACAACAUGGAGGAAAGAUUGGAGUCAGUGGAGAUAUGCGAGCUGACUCCCCGGGGCACUCAGCAAAGUAUGGGAGCUACACACUCAUGCACCUAGACAGUAACCGCAUUAUUGACCUUCAGCUUGUUCAGAGCAAUGAAGUAGGUGGUAGUUACCACAUGAAGAAGGAGGGCCUUAAACGCUGCCUGGAUCUACUGGAUUCAAACGGUUUGGUGGUGGACUACAUUGUCACCGACCGUCAUCCACAGAUCCAGAAGUAUCUGAGGGAGCGCAGCAUCACCCACUUCUAUGAUGUGUGGCACUUUGAGAAAGGGUUUGUCAAAGAAACUUGACAAAGUUGCGCAAAACAAGGACUGCGGGGUGUUGAAGAAGUGGCUGCGUAGCAUCAAAAGCCAUGUCUACUGGAGUGCAACAUCGUCAACAUCAGGGCCAGAAAAGGUAGCCAAGUGGAUGUCGAUUGUCAACCACAUCCAGAACGUGCACUUGCAUGAAAACCCUCUUUUCCCUAAGUGC